rnacentral:rRNA from 1 species
GCGGCCUAUCAGCUUGUUGGUGAGGUAAAGGCUCACCAAGGCGACGACGGGUAGCCGGCCUGAGAGGGCGACCGGCCACACUGGGACUGAGACACGGCCCAGACUCCUACGGGAGGCAGCAGUAGGGAAUAUUGGGCAAUGGGCGAAAGCCUGACCCAGCGACGCCGCGUGAGGGAUGAAGGUCUUCGGAUUGUAAACCUCUUUCAGUAGGGAAGAAGCGAAAGUGACGGUACCUAAAGAAGAAGCACCGGCUAACUAUGUGCCAGCAGCCGCGGUAAUACAUAGGGUGCAAGCGUUGUCCGGAAUUAUUGGGCGUAAAGAGCUCGUAGGUCGUUUGUCGCGUCGAUUGUGAAAAUCUGAGGCUCAACCUCAGACCUGCAGUCGAUACGGGCAGACUAGAGUGUGGUAGGGGAGACUGGAAUUCCU